rnacentral:rRNA from 1 species
UACAGAGGGGGCAAGCGUUAUUCGGAAUUAUUGGGCGUAAAGGGCGCGUAGGCGGCCAUUCAAGUGACGGGUGAAAGCCCUCGGCUUAACCGAGGAACUGCCUGUCAGACUGGAUGGCUUGAGACCGGGAGAGGUGAGUGGAAUUCCCAGUGUAGCGGUGAAAUGCGUAGAUAUCUGGAGGAAUACCGGUGGCGAAGGCGGCAUCCUGGACCGGCAUUGACGCUGAGGAGCGAAAGCCAGGGGAGCAAACGGG